rnacentral:rRNA from 1 species
CUUUAUCUUUACAAGAAAUACAUUGAAACUUUAUUUCCAAGUAAUCAAGAGGUAUGUUACUUUCAGCUAAAAGUCUUUCUUUCUUUACAUUUAAAGACUUUAUAUUCUCUUUAGUCUUCUUUACAAUUUCAUCUUUAGAUUUGGGAUUUAAAAGUACUAUUUUAGCUAAACUGAGACCUAUUUUAGAAAUUUCAUCAUCUAUAGAUUUUAUCUCAGGGAUUCUAUUAUAUACCUCAUUUUUUCUAUGUUCUAAUAAGAGUUCAUUGUCAUCUCUUCUCUUAGCAUAUUUAGCAAGUAUUUUUCUUAUUUUAUCCUCAUUCAUUUAAUCACCUACUUAAACUUUUCUUUUUGACUUUUUUUAAUAAUCUCAUCGAGCUCAUCAGAGGUAUACUGAGUGAAUGUUUCGUUGAAAUUAUGAAACUUAGUUUUUUUGUAAGUAUUGUUGUUUUGAGUAGUAUUAAUCUGCUUCUUAUUAAUAUUCUCCUUAACUAUACGUUCUUCCUCUUUUUGCUUUAAAUCAUUUAAAUUUUUUAUAUUUUUUUCAUUCCAAUUUUUAAUUAUACCAUUUAUAUAAGAUAUACUUGGGUUUGAAAUAUUCUUAGACUUAGAACAUGCAUUUAUUAUCAAAUCUAUAUCCAUAUUAAAUUUAUCAAACCAGGUGUCCAUAAGUUCUUUUUCUGAUUUUGAUGGUUGUCUUGAAAAUCCCAAUUCAUUGAAAAUCGUUUUAUAUAAAAUAUAUCGUUCACUUCUUACCAAAAAGCUUUCUUCAACAUCUUUUGGUGUAUAUAAAUUUGAAUCAUACCAAUUUCUAAUAAUGCCUUCAAUAUAUUUAACUGGCUUUGAUGUACCAGUUUUAUCUUUGACGUAUUCAUAUGCGCAAAGUAUCAUAUCGGGGCUCAUAUUGUAUUUAUUCAUUAUAUCCAUAAUACUCAUCUUUUCACUUGGGUCGAGAUAUCGCCCAACUAUUUUAUUUAUAGAAUUAAACAUUUUUCUAAUACUUGGAUUUUCAGAAGUAGAUACAACCUUAUCUGUAUUAGAUUUUAUAGAUGAAUUAUUGCUUAAUAUAUUCUCAAUAUAGAAAUUUUUUAAAUCUAAAAAUUCUAUUGAAUAAUUAAAAUUAUCAUAUUCUCCAUUGUCAUGUAUUUUUAUAAUCUUCUUUUCUUCCCAGAAUUUCCAAGCAGAUAACACAUCAGACAAUGGUAUAUUUAGGUUUUUGGCUAUUGAAUUAUUGUCGAACUUAGGAUUAGAAGUAAUAUCACAUGCUUGUCUAUAUCCUAAAAGAUAAACUUUUACGUAUAACCCAUCCGCCAUUGGCAUAAAUAUAUCUAUAAAGAUAUUGGGAAUAGUGAUUUCACCUAAAUCUAUUUCAUUGCUUUCUUUAAAAAACAUUUUAUCACCUCAGAUUAAAUUAUAUCAUUUUUUAUAUUAUAUUUGUCUGUAAACAAAUAAAAGGUCACAAGAUUAGCAUGUAAAUAUUUUCUAAAAGUAUUCAUUUUGAAAAGGAGGAGAUAUUUUGGUUAUAAAAUUCAACCAAAAAGUAAGAAGAACAUUAUCAGUAGCGAUUCUAUUUAUGGUAUUAAUAAUAGGUUGCUUUAUAGAAAAGGAUGACAGUUUAGAAACAUACAAGGAAAAAACUAAUUCAAAAAUAAAUCAAUAUAAUAUGGAUGUUAUAUUUGAUGAUGAGACUAAGAGGUUAAUGUGCAAUCAGAAUGUUGACUACAUAAAUAAUACAAAAUCAAACAUAGAUAAAAUAUAUUUCCAUAUAUAUCCAAAUGCUUUUUCCAAGAAAGAUUUUGCUCCUUUUGAAAAAAGUGAAAUGACAAGGGCUUAUCCUAAUGGAUUUAACGAAGGAUAUAUAGAUAUAAAGAAUAUAUUAAAUAAUAAUAGUAAAAUGGAGUAUAAAAUUAAAGGAGACAAAAAUGACAUAUUAGAAAUAGAAUUAGGGAAAGAGUUAAAACCAAAUGAAAGAAUGUCAUUAGAUAUAAAAUAUAACGUAAAAAUACCAAAUUCAGUUGGAAGAUUUGGAUAUGGAGAAAAUACUAUAAAUGUUACUAAUUGGUUUCCUAUAGCUUGUGUAAAUGAUGAAAGGGGAUGGAAUUUAAAGAGUUAUGAAACUAUUGGCGACCCAUUUUAUAGUGAGACUAGCGAUUUUCAUGUGAAACUAUUGAUUCCAAAUAAAUAUAAAAUUGCUCAUACAGGAAAACUUAUUGAUGAUAAACAUGAUAAUAAGAAAAUGCUAUAUGAAAUAGAAGCUGAAAACGUUAGAGAUUUUGCAUUUAUACUAAGUAGUAAAUUUGAUGUAAAUAAAGUAGAUUCAAAGGGAAUAGCUAUCAAUACAUAUAAUUUAAAUAAAAAACUUUCUAAAAAAGCAACUGAAGUGGCAAAAGAUUCAAUAAAUAUAUUUAGUGAAUUAUUUGGAAAGUAUCCUUACAAAGAAUUUUCUGUUGUAGCAAGUGACUUUUUUAUAGGGGGGAUGGAAUACCCUAUGCUUGUUAUGAUAGACCAAAGUUUAUAUAAUGAAAAAAAUGAAUUUUUACUAGAAUAUGUUAUUGCCCAUGAGACAGCACAUCAAUGGUGGUAUUCUGCUGUUGGAAAUGAUGAAAUAAGUGAACCCUGGUUAGAUGAAGCACUUACUGAAUAUUCUACAAUAGUUUAUUUUGAACAAAAGUAUGGUAAAGAUAUGGCAAACAAGCUUAUAAAAACUAUGGAGAUACAGACAAAAAGUUAUUUGAGCGAAAAUAUAUUUAAGCCAGCAAAUGAGUAUAAAAAUUCUACUGAAUACAGUUUGAAUGUUUAUACAAAAGGCGCAAUAGCAUUUAAUGAAAUAAGAAAAGAAGUUGGAGAUAAAGUAUUCUUUGAGACUUUAAAUGAGUACUAUAAUAAGUAUAAGCAUAAAAAUGCUAAUGGAAGAGCUUUUGUGGAACUAUGGAAUAGUAAAGGUGUAGAUAUAAAUAAGAUUAUAAGUGAAUGUAAGUAAAUUUUGUGCAGAGUAUUAAAUUUUAUUUAAUACUCUGUUUUUUUGGUAUAAUAUAAUUUAUAAGGCAGAAAAAGAGGUGAAGGAAUGCUAAAGUAUUGUUCAGUAGGGAGUGGUAGUAGUGGGAAUUGCCACUAUAUAGGGUAUAAAAAUACUAAUAUACUAGUAGAUGCAGGAUUAAGUGGCAAGAGAAUAACUACAGGUCUUAAAGACAUUGAUGUAGAUGCAGAUAAAUUAAAAGGAAUAUUUAUAACACAUGAGCAUGUUGACCAUAUAAAAGGAGCAGGCAUAUUAUCAAGAAAGUUUGAUAUACCAGUAUUUGCUAAUAUUAAGACCUGGUGUUCUAUGAAGGACAAACUAGGUGACAUUAAAGAUAAAAAUAUGAAAGUGUUUGAAAAUGAUAAAACCUAUUCAUUAGGUGAUAUCAUAGUGAGACCUUUUUCAAUAGAACAUGAUGCAUCUGAUCCAGUUGGAUAUAAUUUUUAUACAGAGAGUGAUGAAAAAAUGUCUAUAGCUACUGAUAUAGGAUGUAUAACUCAAAAUAUAAAAAAACAUCUAUAUAAAUCUAAAUUAGUAGUAUUGGAAUCAAAUUAUGACCCUAAUAUGCUUAUGAUGGGUUCAUAUACAUAUGCUUUAAAGAAAAGAGUAAUGUCAAGCACUGGUCAUUUAUCCAAUGAAGAUGCAGCUAAUUUCUGCGUUGAACUUAUUAAUGAAGGAACAGAAUCUAUAUUAUUAGCGCAUUUAAGUAAAGAAAAUAAUUUUCCUGAGUUAGCAUAUGAGACUUCAAAAGGAGUAUUAGCAUCAAAUGAUAUAGUAGUUGGACAAGAUGUAAAACUGGAUGUACUAUCACGAAAUGAUGUUUCUAAUGUUUAUGAGAUGAAGUAGAGGUGAAUAACUUUGCUAAAGAGAAAUUUUGAAAAUGUUGAGGAUAAUAAGAUUUUAUACUCUAUAAAGCAGGGUAUGAUUUUAGCAAUACCUGCUAUUAUGACUGGUUCAACUGCUCUUGUAAUUUUGAAUCUUCCAAUAAAGGCGUAUCAAGAAUAUUUNAGGCAAAUCCGCUUUGAUAAUGCUGGGAUGUGAUGGGGAGCGAAAUUUAGUAGCGAAGUAGCUGAUUUCACACUGUCAAGAAAAGUCUCUAUCGAGGUUAAAGGUACCCGUACCGCAAACCGACACAGGUGGGUGAGGAGAGUAUCCUAAGGCCAGCGAGAGAACUGUUGUUAAGGAACUCGGCAAAAUGACCCCGUAACUUAGGGAUAAGGGGUGCCACCAUCCGGUGGCCGCAGAGAAUAGGCCCAAGCGACUGUUUACCAAAAACAUAGGUUUCUGCUAAGUCGCAAGACGAUGUAUAGGAGCUGACGCCUGCCCGGUGCUGGAAGGUUAAGGGGAUCUGUUAGAGCAAUCGAAGCAGUGAACUUAAGCCCCAGUAAACGGCGGCCGUAACUAUAACGGUCCUAAGGUAGCGAAAUUCCUUGUCGGGUAAGUUCCGACCCGCACGAAAGGCGUAACGAUUUGGGCACUGUCUCAACAACAGACUCGGUGAAAUUGUAAUUCCGGUGAAGAUGCCGGAUACCUGCGACAGGACGGAAAGACCCCAUGGAGCUUUACUGUAGCUUGACAUUGGGUCUUGGUACUACAUGUACAGGAUAGGUGGGAGGCUUUGAAACCAGGACGCCAGUUUUGGCGGAGCCAUCCUUGGGAUACCACCCUUGUAGUACUGGGACUCUAACCAUAGGCCAUGAAUCUGGUCUUGGGACACUGUCAGGUGGGCAGUUUGACUGGGGCGGUCGCCUCCCAAAAGGUAACGGAGGCGCUCAAAGGUUCUCUCAGUACGGUCGGAAAUCGUACGUAGAGUGUAAAGGCAAAAGAGAGCUUGAUUGCAAGACAUACAGGUCGAGCAAGGAUGAAAAUCGGACUUAGUGAUCCGGUGGUUCUGCGUGGAAGGGCCAUCGCUCAACGGAUAAAAGCUACCCUGGGGAUAACAGGCUUAUCUCCCCCAAGAGUCCACAUCGACGGGGAGGUUUGGCACCUCGAUGUCGGCUCAUCACAUCCUGGGGCUGUAGUAGGUCCCAAGGGUUGGGCUGUUCGCCCAUUAAAGUGGUACGCGAGCUGGGUUCAGAACGUCGUGAGACAGUUCGGUCCCUAUCCGUCGCAGGCGUAGGAAAUUUGAGAAGACCUGUCCUUAGUACGAGAGGACCGGGAUGGACGUACCUCUGGUGUACCAGUUGUUCUGCCAAGGGCAUGGCUGGGUAGCUAUGUACGGAAUGGAUAAGCGCUGAAAGCAUCUAAGCGCGAAGCCAACUUCAAGAUAAGAUUUCCCACCGCAAGGGUAAGACCCCAGAAAGACUAUCUGGUUGAUAGGUCGAAGGUGUAAGUGCAGCAAUGUAUUUAGCUUAUCGAUACUAAUAGGUCGAGGACUUGACCAA